UACGUAGGGUGCAAGCGUUGUCCGGAAUUAUUGGGCGUAAAGAGCUCGUAGGCGGUCUGUCACGUCGGCUGUGAAAUCCCGAGGCUCAACCUCGGGUCUGCAGUCGAUACGGGCAAACUAGAGUAUUGCAGGGGAGACUGGAAUUCCUGGUGUAGCGGUGAAAUGCGCAGAUAUCAGGAGGAACACCGGUGGCGAAGGCGGUGGGCUGGGCCGGCACUGACGCUGAGGAGCGAAAGCGUGGGGAGCGAACAGG
rnacentral:rRNA from 1 species